CCCGCACGCACGGCAAGGGCACGCACGCCCUACCCUACGAGAUCGCGACCUCGAUUCGGGACCCCCUCCGGCGACGAUUCCUCGGCGGCGGCGGCGGCGCUUAUUCUCCGGCCACGACGACGAGGCGCUGGCGGGCGGAUUGGUGGUCGCUCCGUGGCGGCGCUGUCAAUGCGGGUGGCUCUGACUGACCCCGACCCCGGCCGGUGGUUGCCUUGCGCCGAUGGGGGACGCCUGCGGCCCGCCCGGGCUGCGGAAAUCUGACGCCAACGCCCACGACGACGCGCCUCCGGCGGUGACACGCCGGCCAUCGACCCCGCGGCGGCACCCGUCUCCGAAUGCCGGCGCACCCGCCACCCCGAGGCGGCACCCCUCGCCGAAUGCCGCUACGGGGGUGGCUGGGUCGCAGGCGAAGAGGCCCCAGUCCAGCGACCGGCGGUCCGGGAGCCCGGCGAGGCCGGCCUCCGGCGGUGGCUCCAGGGCGGCCGCGCCGUCCAGGAUCUCCGCCCCGACGUCGCCGCCCUCCAGUCCGUCCUCGUCCUCCUCCAGCUCCUCCACGCCCGUGCGCGACGCCGUCUCCGACACGCAGAGCGCCCCGAGGAGGCUGUCCGGCGGCGGCGGCCGGGCCCCCGACGGGCUGUGGCCGUCAAUGCGGAGCCUCUCCUCCUCGCUCCAGCUCGAGUCCAGGGACCGGAGGGCCGCGGAUCAGGCCAGGGCGAGGGACGCGUCUGCGGCGGCCGACAGGAAGAGGAGCCCGAUGAGGGGGCGGAGCGGCGGCGGCGAGCAGCCGGAGAACCCGCACGCCAGGGUGAUUGACCACCACCGCUGGCCGGCCAUGAUGGGGGGCAGGGUGUCCGGCAGCGCCAUGUCGAGGAGCGUGGAUCUCACUGACAAGAUGCACAGGCUACGCGGCGGGGCUUCACCCAAGAGGACGGCAUCGAUUUCAUCCGCCGCAAGCGCCCUGUCAAGAAGCAUUGAUCUCGCCGACAAAAUCGACCGAUUGGUCUCCUCGUCGCGAGGGGAGGAGUCACCUAGAAGAUCAUCUGCUUCAAAUGGCUCAGCUGAUACAUCAAAAAGCAGCAUCACUGAUGGUAAAGAUGCCAGACCUGCAGCCAUGGCAGUUCCAUCGAGAGGGAUUAUUUCUCCUGUGAGAACAGCAAGGGCCCUGUCCAAGAGCAUGGAUCUUACUGAAAGAGAUUACAGUAUGCUCUCCUCGGCAGUUUCAUCGUCCUCAGUAUCAAGUGUGUCCAAUGCUACAUCGCAAACCACAAAGUCUUCUGAGAAACCGAAUGGCCGUGCUUCUUCCCCGGCCUCGUCACGGGGACGUUCACCUAGGACAUCAGCAGCAUCUGGUGGCAGCAUUGGUGCUAUAUCAAAAAACGCCGAUGUCCCUGGAAAAGAUAAGAGACCAGCUUCAUCUAGAGGGACUUCGCCAAGAAGGCCACUUGCUUCCGAUGGUGUUAAUGCUAUUGUCAAAAAUAUGGAUUUUGCGGAAAAGGAUAGCAGAACAGUCAUCUCCUCGGUUCCAUCUCGAGCGGUAUCUUCCCCAAGGAGAAGACAGGCCUCUGAUGGUAUUGAUGUUAUGCGAAGAAGCGCAGAUUUUUCUGAAAAAGAUAACAGACCAUCCACAUCAUCUUCACUGCGUGGGGUUUCUCCGCGAAGAAGGCUUGGUUCUGAUGGUUUCAGUGGUAUAUCAAAAGGGGUGGAUUGUGUUGAUAAAGCUAGCACACCAUCCACCUCAUCAGCGGCAUCGCGAGGUGUUGCACCAAGAACUCAAGUGAUAUCUGAUUGUGUUGGUACUACAUCAAAGGGCAAGGAUUCUGCUGAUAAAGAUAAUAGACCAUCAACCUCAUAUGCUGCAUCACGAGGUAUGUCACCACGAAGAAGGCUUGCAUCUGAUGGUAUUAGCUCCAUUUCAAGUAACAUCAACUUCGCUGAAAAGGAUGGCAGAAUCGUGGCCUCUUCAGUCGCACAUCGAGGGAUCUCAACAAUAAGGCGUCUUGCGUCUGAUGGUGUUGAUAUUAUAUCAAAGAGUACGGAUAGUCCUGAGAAAGAUGUCAGACCCUCCACUUCGGCCGGUUCAAGAGGUCUUUCGCCAAGAAGACCUGUCUCUGAUGGUGUCAAUGUUAUACCCAAGCGCAUGGAUCUUUCUGAAAAAGAUACCAGACCUGCCACCUUGUCAGCUGCAUCACGGGGAGUUUCACCAAGAAGAAGACUCGCCUCUGAUAAUGUAGAAGCAAUAUCAAAGAGCUCAGAUUCUGUUGAAAAAGAAACAAGAUCAUCCGCUUCGUCGGUGGCAUCACGAGGGGUUUCACCAAGAAGAAGACUUGCCUCUGAUAAUGUAGAAGCAAUAUCAAAGAGCUCAGAUUUUGUUGAAAAAGAAACAAGACCAUCCACUUCAUCAAUGGCAUCACGAGGGGUUUCACCAAGAAGAAGACUCGCCUCUGAUAUUGUAGAUGGUAUAUCGAAGAGCUCAGAUUCUGUUGAAAAAGAAACAAGACCAUCCACUUCGUCAGUGGCAUCACGUGGGGUUUCACCAAGAAGAAGACUCACCUCUGAUAGUGUAGAAGCUACAUCAAAGAGCUCAGAUUUUGUUGAAAAAGAAACAAGAUCAUCCACUUCGUCGGUGGCAUCGCGAGGGGUUUCACCAAGAAGAAGACUCGCCUCUGAUAGUGUAGAAGCUAUAUCGAAGAGCUCAGAUUUUGCUGAAAAAGAAACAAGACCAUCCACUUCAUCAGUAGCAUUACGGGGGGUUUCACCAAGAAGAAGACUUGCCCCUGAUAGUGUAGAAGCUAUAUCGAAGGGCUCAGAUUUUGUUGAAAAAGAAACCAGAUCGUCCACUUCGUCAGUGGCAUCACGAGGGGUUUCACCAAGAAGACGACUUGCGUCGGAUGGUGCAAAUACUUUACUGAAGAGCACUGAUUUUUCUGGUAAAGACUACAGGCCAUCAACCUCGUCAGCUGCAUCACGAGGGACAUCACAAAGAAGCAGGGUUGCCUCUAAUUCCAUUGAUGCCCUGUCGAGAAGUAUGAAUUUUGCUGAUAAAGAGAGCAGACCCUCCACCUCAUCAGUAGCAUCACGUGGGACUCUACAGAGAGGCAUGCUUGCUUCUGGUAGCAUUGUGGAUCCUGUGGAUAAUGGUAGUGAACGAUCCACCUCAUCGGCUGCAUCUGGUGGGACUUCAGACAGUAGACUUGAUGGUACUGAUGCUCAAGUAGAAGCCAUCCAGUUUGCUGAGGAAGUUAAUUCAGUAACUCCAGAUGGCUGUAGUGAUGAUACUUCAGAAAGCACGUAUUCUGGUAAUGUAGGCACAGGUGCAUCAUCCUUGUCCAUUGCGGUGCAAGAUAGACAACCAAGCAGAUCUGUUUCUGAUGUCAGUGAGGAUAUGUCACAGAGUGUGGAUGCAACUCAAAAACAUAACAGAGCCAUCUCGGUAAAGGUUCCAUCUCGAGGAACUUCUCCAAGAAGGCGACUUGCAUCUGAUGGCAUUAAUACUAUGCUCAAAAGCAUGGAUUUUGCUGAGAAAGAUAAGAGACCCAUGACCAUGUCAGUAUCAUCACGUGGAAUGUCACCAAGAAGACCAGCAAGAGUGGACUCUGCUAAUAUAAUGUCAAAAAGCAUGGAUUUUUCUGAUAAAUGUAAUGGACAAAUAUCUUCAAUAAUUCCAUCACGAGCGGUUUCUACACGAAAAAUACUUGGACCGGAUGGUGCUAAUGCCAUGUCAAGAAGCGUGGAUCUGACUGAUAACAUCAGACAACCAGUCUCUUCAACAGUGCAACCAAGUAGAGUUUCACCAAGGAAGAUGCCUUCUGCGAGCUCAGGUUCUGCCAAUGGAAAUGGAAGUCAAGAGGAAAAUGCCAGUUCAAGUCCAGAUGCACCUUCAAAUAAUUCAGAAAGAUUUGCACCUCCAAAGCAGUUGGCAAGGACACUGUCUUCACCAUCACGUGGUCUACUACGUCCUUCAUCACCGACCAAGGCUUCAUCAACAUCAUCACUUGCCUCUAGGAGGUUGCCGAGCCCAUUGAGGAUUCGACCUUCAACACCUGUCUCACCAUGUAGUUCUGGUAGAUCCGAUUCUCCCUCUUCUCUUCUCAGCUACAUUGGUGAUGCAACAAGAGGAAAGAAGAGCCCAAGCCACAUGGAAGAUGCCCAUCAGUUGCGCCUCCUGUAUAAUAGGAACUUGCAAUGGCGUUUUACAAAUGCUUAUGUGGAUGAAAUGCUAUCAAUCCAGAAGAUGGGUGCCGAGACUAUGCUCUACAGUGUAUGGGAUAGUAAUUCAAGGAUGUCUGACUCUAUGGUUACGAAAAGGAGUUAUGUUGAAAGGCUGAGGCAAGAGGUCAAAUUGGGAAUAGUGUUGAAACAACAAAUGGACUACCUUGACCACUGGGCAGAGUUGCAAACAGAUCAUUCUACUUCUUUGUCCGGUGCAAUUGAAGCUCUUAGAGCAAGUACAUUGCGCCUUCCAGUUACAGGAGGAGCAAAGGCUGAUGUACUUACUGUUAAGAAUGCUGUCAGUUCAGCAGUUGACAUUAUGCAAGCAAUGGGCUCUUCUGUUUGCAACUUGCUAUCGAAGUUAGAGGCUACACACUCUCUCGUUACAGAACUCUCAGCUGUUGCUGCUAAAGAGAGCACUACCCUUAAUGAGUACAGAGAACUCUUGGGUACAGCGGCAGCACUGCAGGUCCACGAGUCCAGCCUAAGGACACAACUCAUGCAAGAAACAGAGUGAACAACUUUCUUGUAUGUCUAACUAAGAAGAUAGAGGUAACCACACCAUUCAUUAGUUCUCUGUAACCGUAACGUGAAUAUGUGUAUCUUCAGUUUGUUCCCCACCCCCCUUUCUUUUUCUUCCCCUUUGUUAGGUACCCCCAAAUUUCUCUUUCUUUUUUCAUUUCUACCUCCCAUGCCCUUUUCUAUUUGUACAACCUGCAUGGAAGAGGAAGUGCAGCAAGCAAAAUCAUGGAUUCACCAUGACGACGGACCUGUCAGUGUUAUUUUGUAUAGCAGCUCACAAACUGAGGAUGUCGAGGUUCCAGAAACCUUAAAGCCUGUUGUAAAUUAUAGCAGCUCCUCUGCCUUUUGUCGUUGUAACUUGUAUCGCGGUAACAGUAGUAGAAUGUUUGGUAGCAGAUUAUCUAUUGCAGGUUCCCAGGCCACCAAUGGGAACAUCUAACCUAACACUACAGGGUAGUAGAUGAUGACAGGUUCCUGGUACACCGACUUCAUUUACCUACACGUUUGCGGUCACCCUUUCAAG
rnacentral:rRNA from 1 species